rnacentral:rRNA from 1 species
UAGGGAAUCUUCCACAAUGGACGCAAGUCUGAUGGAGCAACGCCGCGUGAGUGAGGAAGGUCUUCGGAUCGUAAAGCUCUGUUGUUGGUGAAGAAGGAUAGAGGCAGUAACUGGUCUUUAUUUGACGGUAAUCAACCAGAAAGUCACGGCUAACUACGUGCCAGCAGCCGCGGUAAUACGUAGGUGGCAAGCGUUGUCCGGAUUUAUUGGGCGUAAAGCGAGCGCAGGCGGAAUGAUAAGUCUGAUGUGAAAGCCCACGGCUCAACCGUGGAACUGCAUCGGAAACUGUCAUUCUUGAGUGCAGAAGAGGAGAGUGGAACUCCAUGUGUAGCGGUGGAAUGCGUAGAUAUAUGGAAGAACACCAGUGGCGAAGGCGGCUCUCUGGUCUGCAACUGACGCUGAGGCUCGAAAGCAUGGGUAGCGAACAGGAUUAGAUACCCUGGUAGUCCAUGCCGUAAACGAUGAUCGCUAGGUGUUGGGGACUUUCCGGUCCUCAGUGCCGCAGCAAACGCAUUAAGCGCUCCGCCUGGGGAGUACGACCGCAAGGU